GGAUGCGAUCAUACCAGCACUAAAGCACCGGAUCCCAUCAGAACUCCGUAGUUAAGCGUGCUUUGGCGAGAGUAGUACUAGGAUGGGUGACCUCCUGGGAAGUCCUCGUGUUGCAUUCC
rnacentral:rRNA from 2 species